GUGAGGAAUAUUGGUCAAUGGACGAGAGUCUGAACCAGCCAAGUCGCGUGAAGGAAGACGGUUCUAUGAAUUGUAAACUUCUUUUGUGCAGGAAUAAAGUGGGUUACGUGUAACCUUUUGUAUGUACUGUACGAAUAAGGAUCGGCUAACUCCGUGCCAGCAGCCGCGUUAAUACGGAGGAUCCGAGCGUUAUCCGGAUUUAUUGGGUUUAAAGGGUGCGUAGGUGGAUUGAUAAGUCAGCGGUGAAAGUUUGCAGCUUAACUGUAAAAUUGCCGUUGAAACUGUCGGUCUUGAGUGCAAAUGAGGUAGGCGGAAUGUGUUGUGUAGCGGUGAAAUGCUUAGAUAUAACACAGAACUCCGAUUGCGAAGGCAGCUUACUGGGAUGCAACUGACACUGAUGCACGAAAGCGUGGGUAUCAAACAGGAUUAGAUACCCUGGUAGUCC
rnacentral:rRNA from 1 species